GGGCGUAUGGUCUAGAGGUAUGAUACCUGCUUUGGGCAUCAUCCAUUGCAGGGGGUCUUCGGUUCGAAUCCGGAUUUGCCCC
rnacentral:tRNA from 1 species